CACUCUCCGCUUUCCGUGUCCAUCUGAACGCACGUAGUCACGUCGUAUACGAAGAUCUUAAUAUAAGGGUUAUGUGGCACAAGAAUAAUUAACUUCAGAUUAAACAAUUGGUUCGAGUUGUAUGCGAGGAU